rnacentral:rRNA from 1 species
CGCAAUGGACGAAAGUCUGACGCAGCGACGCCGCGUGGAGGAUGAAGGUUCUCGGAUCGUAAACUCCUGUCAAGAGGGAAGAAACCUAUCGAAAUUAAUACUUUUGGUAAUUGACGGUACCUCUAGAGGAAGCACCGGCUAAUUCAGUGCCAGCAGCCGCGGUAAUACUGAAGGUGCAAGCGUUAAUCGGAAUCACUGGGCGUAAAGCGCUCGUAGGUGGCUUUGUAAGUCAGGUGUGAAAGCCCACGGCUCAACCGUGGAAUUGCACUUGAUACUGCAUCGCUAGAGUAUAGGAGAGGGAAGUGGAAUUUCUGGUGUAGGAGUGAAAUCCGUAGAGAUCAGAAGGAACACCGGUGGCGAAGGCGACUUCCUGGACUAUUACUGACACUGAGGAGCGAAAGCGUGGGGAGCAAACAGGAUUAGAUACCCUGGUAGUCCACGCCGUAAACGAUGGGUACUAGGUGUCGGAGGCUUGACCUUCGGUGCCGUAGUUAACGCGUUAAGUA